GCUUGCUUCCUUCUCCCCUGGGAGCCUUUGUGACCCACAGCCCUCACCUCGGAUAGGAUCUGUUCCUGCCCUCUGCAGCUCAGCAUGGAGCACAGCUUUCCCACUUGGUUUCUGGUUUUUGGGACAGGAACAAGGAAGCCACCUCUGCCAGCCCAAACCUAGCCCUAUCAGAUCCCAUCUGUUCUAGGGAAAUAGGGCAAGCACUGCCUGUGCUGAGUGAUGCUCAUACAGCUCUGGUCCCAUGAAGCCUGUCCAUCCCCUUUUGUCAUCCUCCUGUCCCCUCUGCUGGGCUUCCACAGAGCUGGGACCUUUCCUUUCUUGUUUAUUUGUGGCUUGUUUCCUGUGCUCUGUUUAAAAAGCUCAUGUAGCUCUUCAGGUUCUCAUUUUACAGACCAAGGCAAAGGAAGCUGCAAGGAUUUCUGCCUGGGAGUUGGAUGUCUGUGUACCCUGCUGUCAGCCUCCAGCCAAUGUGAUGGCACAGUGAACCUGUAAUGCAUCCAGAGAGGAAGCAGAGAGCUGCAGUUCAGCAGGGACAGAACGCUGACCGGGAGGGGAUGGGGUCCUGCCCACGUCGGUGAUGGGAGCAGUCCUGACCCUCUGCUCCAGGCACCAGGAGGAGCCCACGACCAGCCUGCCUGCUCAGCCACCAUUUCAAGAGCUUCUCAAGUCAAAGCAGGCCUGGAACACAAAACCUUUGGGUGCCAUGCAGAGAAGCAGCAACACUGAGAGACCCAGAGCUUCUGUGGAAGCCAGCUGUCCCCAAGGCCUGACCCACAGCAGUGCUCAGCACGUGGGGAUGGAAGCUCCCACUGCAGCCGGAGGGACUCCAACAGCCACGGAGCGCCUGGUUUGUAUGGCAAACCCACGUCUGUACUGAGAAUGGAGCUUUGUGUCGCUCUGAAAAGGCUGCCCAGCACUUGGAGCUAGAUAGCAAAAUGUUUCUCCCUGGUUAGCUGGGGAUCUCCAGCUGCUCUUAGGUGUCUACGCACACUCUUCACUUGCCUUCAGGUAUGCAGGGCAUCAGGAGGCGUUGCUUCCCAUGCCCACCAAUGCCUUACUGCAGGAAUCUUCUCCCUGCAGUGUCUGCUCCAAGCAAAGCUUCCAUCCCUUUCCUUUCCCAGCCCAGAACUUUGUAUUUUGUCAGAGAUCCUCAUGUUUUUGCUUCGGUCUUCCUCUGGCAGCCUUAUAUUUGGGCCAUCAUCAUCUGACAAGUGGCACUGAAAAGGAGCAGAGAUGUCUCUCUUCCCUCUUGUCCAGGAGCACUCACACACAACAGAUGUGCUCCCUCCCAGGCCCAAGGAGAGACAGCUCAGAAUCUCUUCUGGCAGAACAUCUUUGCUCUCUGCCCUGACUUGACUCCCUUUUCCAUGCUUGCAGGAAUAAUUCACCAUGUGCCAGGUCAGGAUUUCCCAUGCUGGUGGCUUACCUCUUCAUAUGUUCCCUGCUCUUCCUUCCUCAUGUCUCCUGGCACAGCACUGGCAGUUGUUUCAUUCUAAAUCAUCUUUUGGUGACAUAAAAUACAACAUCACGUUGGUUUUGAUGUUUGGUUGGUAUUGCACUGUACUGCACGCCUUGCAUUCUGCGUGUUGCCAUAUGACGUUACAGACACACAGAUAGUUUGGCUUGUGGGUUGAUUCAGUUGAAGAUCUAGUUUCAUAUUAACUUCUUCUUUUAUUAUUAGUUCUUAUCAGAGCCCGUGCACUCGACUGGGGCUCUGGGAAUGGUGCUGCUGGGGAAUGCUGUGUUCUCAGAGGAAGCAGAACCUGCCUGGAGCCUUUCUUCCUGCACCGUGUGUCAGUGGUGUCUGUACUCCUGGGUCCGACUUUCCUUGAGCUCUAUGGCAAACGGUGCUCCCUGCUCUCCCAUCGCAGCAUCAUCCGUGGGGUGCCAAUGGUGACCCACAGCCUGGUAUGCCAGCUGAGCUGGCGCUUCUGACACAGCGUGCCAUGAACAGAAAUACAUAUGCAGGCGAGGCAGAGUCGUGCUGCAGGGGGGCUUCGUGGCUAGGAAGGGGUUACACCCACUCCCCCUGCUAAUGCCAGCACUGUGGGGGCGCUCACUGUGCAGGAACCGGGGGGCAGCGGUCGGUUUUGCAGGUAACAAAGUGUCAGCAGUGGGGACCCACUCCUGCCAGUGCUGUGCCAUCAAGGCUGCUGCUUUGGGGAGCUCUGGGGCGCCGCUGGGCUGCGUGCCCAGAUGUGGGGCGCUUACUGGGAGGCGCUGGGGCCCACACUGCACAUCCCUGGCGCUCACACGGGGUCACAGGUGCCAGGUGUGGGGACGUGGGUGCCAGGCAGAGUUUGCGGCAGUCCCACGUGCAGGAGGUGCUGGGAUGAGCCCCAGCCGAGGGCCGGCGGUGCACCAACUUUCUGUAACCUCACGGGGCUCCGAGGGCUCUCCUGGGCUGAAAAACCGGGGGGAUUCUGUGUGGUCCCCCCAUAUGCGCUUAAAGUUUUUAAGGCCGUUGCAGUGCUGAUUUCAGCCACCAGAUGUGCGCAGUUGAGCCGCGUUGGCUCCCAGCCUGGAAGUGAGGUCAGAGGAUGGGGAUUGGGAGAAGAAGUCAUCUGGUUUCCUGCCUGGGCUCUGACGCAUCCCUGCAUCCUCCCUUGUCCCCCCCGUGACCUCCUUUUGCAGACAAAGAGGGGAAGUGCUGCGCACGCAGCAUCCCCCGCACUGCUCCCCCCUCCUUUGUGCUGCCUCACUAGGGACAUCUCUUUCUUGUUUUUUUUUUCCCCUGCCUCUGACAAGUCCAUAAUGAGGAG
ensembl:lncRNA